rnacentral:tRNA from 1 species
GUCACAGUGACCGAGUGUUUAAGGCGGUGCCCUGCUAUUUCGCACAGGUGUUGGGCAUUGCAUGUGCAAGAUCGAACCCUGUCUGUGCCG